AUAAUACUCCCUCUGUCUGGAAUUACUUGUCAUCAAAAUGGAUGUGUCUAGAACUAAAAUACAUCUAGAUACAUCCAUUUCAAUGACAAGUAUUUUCGGACGGAGGGAGUAGUAG
rfam:Triticum aestivum genome assembly, contig: Triticum_aestivum_CS42_TGACv1_scaffold_578319_7BL